rnacentral:rRNA from 1 species
UACGUAGGGGGCAAGCGUUGUCCGGAUUUAUUGGGCGUAAAGAGCGUGUAGGCGGCUAGAUAGGUCCGUUGUGAAAACUCGAGGCUCAACCUCGAGACGUCGAUGGAAACCAUCUGGCUAGAGUCCGGAAGAGGAGAGUGGAAUUCCUGGUGUAGCGGUGAAAUGCGCAGAUAUCAGGAAGAACACCCGUGGCGAAGGCAGGUCUCUGGGCAUUAACUGACGCUGAGGAGCGAAAGCAUGGGGAGCGAACAGG